rnacentral:rRNA from 1 species
GAUGAACGCUGGCGGCGUGCUUAACACAUGCAAGUCGAACGAUGAAGCUCAGCUUGCUGGGUGGAUUAGUGGCGAACGGGUGAGUAACACGUGAGUAACCUGCCCUUAACUCUGGGAUAAGCCUGGGAAACUAGGUCUAAUACCGGAUAGGAGCGCCUACCGCAUGGUGGGUGUUGGAAAGAUUUAUCGGUUUUGGAUGGACACGCGGCCUAUCAGCUUGUUGGUGAGGUAAUGGCUCACCAAGGCGACGACGGGUAGCCGGCCUGAGAGGGUGACCGGCCACACUGGGACUGAGACACGGCCCAGACUCCUACGGGAGGCAGCAGUGGGGAAUAUUGCACAAUGGGCGAAAGCCUGAUGCAGCGACGCCGCGUGAGGGAUGACGGCCUUCGGGUUGUAAACCUCUUUCAGUAGGGAAGAAGCGAAAGUGACGGUACCUGCAGAAGAAGCACCGGCUAACUACGUG